rnacentral:rRNA from 1 species
AAGCUUGCUUCACCGAAAAUCAAGAGUAGCGAACGGGUGAGUAACGCGUGGGUAACCUACCUAUCAGCGGGGGAUAACUAUUGGAAACGAUAGCUAAUACCGCAUAACAAUGUUGGAUGCAUAUUCGACAUUUGAAAGUACCAACUGGUACACUGAGAGAUGGACCCGCGUUGUAUUAGCUAGUUGGUAGUGUAAUGGACUACCAAGGCGAUGAUACAUAGCCGACCUGAGAGGGUGAUCGGCCACAUUGGGACUGAGACACGGCCCAAACUCC